GAGACCGGCGCACGGGUGCGUAACGCGUAUGCAAUCUACCUUUCACAGAGGGAUAGCCCAGAGAAAUUUGGAUUAAUACCUCAUAGUAUAGCAGUUUCGCAUGAAACCACUAUUAAAGUCACAACGGUGAAAGAUGAGCAUGCGUCCCAUUAGCUAGUUGGUAAGGUAACGGCUUACCAAGGCAACGAUGGGUAGGGGUCCUGAGAGGGAGAUCCCCCACACUGGUACUGAGACACGGACCAGACUCCUACGGGAGGCAGCAGUGAGGAAUAUUGGACAAUGGGCGCAAGCCUGAUCCAGCCAUGCCGCGUGCAGGAUGACGGUCCUAUGGAUUGUAAACUGCUUUUAUACGAGAAGAAACCCUCCGACGUGUCGGAGCUUGACGGUAUCGUAAGAAUAAGGAUCGGCUAACUCCGUGCCAGCAGCCGCGGUAAUACGGAGGAUCCAAGCGUUAUCCGGAAUCAUUGGGUUUAAAGGGUCCGUAGGCGGUCAGGUAAGUCAGUGGUGAAAGCCCAUCGCUCAACGGUGGAACGGCCAUUGAUACUGUCUGACUUGAAUUAUUAGGAAGUAACUAGAAUAUGUAGUGUAGCGGUGAAAUGCUUAGAGAUUACAUGGAAUACCAAUUGCGAAGGCAGGUUACUACUAAUGGAUUGACGCUGAUGGACG
rnacentral:rRNA from 1 species